UUAAAUUUUUGAAGUUAUCUUAGCUUUUUUGUUGGGUGAAAUCAGUAUAAAGAGUCUCUUUUUCUUUUAAAAUUAAUAGGAAUUAAAAAACUUUGAUUUAAAACCAGGAUUAGAUACCCUGUUAUUCUAAGUUAUAUUUAGACAGGGUAGUAAAAGUUGUUCUUCAAACCCAAAGAUUUUGGCGGCACUUUAUCCAAAUAGAGGAGCUUGUCCCUUAAUCGAUAGUCCCCGUUUUAUCUUUCCUCUGUUUGUAGAGCUUGUAUACCGCCGUUGUCAGAUUACUUUCAGAGAAUGUUUUCAAGUUAAAAGACUUUUGUACUUCAGGUCAAGGUGCAGCUUAUAUAGAGGUGGAGGUGAGCUACAAUUUCCUUUAGAAAUACGGAUUUCAAGCCUCGAAGCUGGUUAAAGGUGGAUUUAUUAGUAAAGUAA
rnacentral:rRNA from 1 species